rnacentral:rRNA from 1 species
AGAGUUUGAUCCUGGCUCAGGAUGAACGCUAGCGACAGGCUUAACACAUGCAAGUCGAGGGGCAGCGGGGGUGAUGGCUUGCCAUCACCUGCCGGCGACCGGCGCACGGGUGAGUAACACGUAUGCAACCUGCCCGCCACAGGGGGAUAAGCGGAAGAAAUUCCGUCUAAUACCGCGUGACGCGGCGUCGGGGCAUCCCGGUGCCGCCAAAGGGAUUACCGGUGGCGGAUGGGCAUGCGGCGCAUUAGCUAGUCGGCGGGGUAACGGCCCACCGAGGCGACGAUGCGUAGGGGUUCUGAGAGGAAGGUCCCCCACACUGGUACUGAGACACGGACCAGACUCCUACGGGAGGCAGCAGUGAGGAAUAUUGGUCAAUGGGCGCGAGCCUGAACCAGCCAAGUCGCGUGAGGGAUGACGGUCCUACGGAUUGUAAACCUCUUUUGCCGGGGAGCAAGCGUGCGUUCGUGAACGCGCGUCGAGAGUACCCGGAGAAAAAGCAUCGGCUAACUCCGUGCCAGCAGCCGCGGUAAUACGGAGGAUGCGAGCGUUAUCCGGAUUUAUUGGGUUUAAAGGGUGCGUAGGCGGGCUUUUAAGUCAGCGGUAAAAAUUCGGGGCUCAACCCCGUCCGGCCGUUGAAACUGGGGGCCUUGAGUGGGCGAGAAGAAGGCGGAAUGCGUGGUGUAGCGGUGAAAUGCAUAGAUAUCACGCAGAACCCCGAUUGCGAAGGCAGCCUUCCGGCGCCCUACUGACGCUGAGGCACGAAAGUGCGGGGAUCGAACAGGAUUAGAUACCCUGGUAGUCCGCACAGUAAACGAUGGAUGCCAGCUGUCCGGGCCGAAUGGGGCCUGGGUGGCAAAGCGAAAGCGUUAAGCAUCCCACCUGGGGAGUACGCCGGCAACGGUGAAACUCAAAGGAAUUGACGGGGGCCCG